GAGAGAGAGAGAGAGAGAGGCGCAAAGGCUUUCGUAGGAGAUUGUAUUUGGUGGAAUAAUUAAAGGGUAAGUGUUAUUAUUGUGAUUUGAGUUAAAUAAUGUGAAUUAUUAUUAUUCACUUUCCCUGCUGGUGGUGGGUGAGCUGUGUUAGCGCCCUGUUAUUCUACAUCCAUGGAAAAAAGGCACCAUGAAGUCAUGCUCAUGACUCUUCCUCGGUCUCUUUUCUGCGCGUUAUUAUUAGCCAGCGUAUGCCUGCUAGUCUG
rnacentral:misc_RNA from 1 species